rnacentral:rRNA from 1 species
GAUGAACGCUAGCGGCAGGCCUAACACAUGCAAGUCGAGGGGUAACAGGGAUUAGCUUGCUAAUUUGCUGACGACCGGCGCACGGGUGCGGAACGCGUAUGGAACCUACCUUUGUCAGGGGGAUAGCCCAGGGAAACUUGGAUUAAUACCCCAUAGUAUUAUUUAGACACAUGUUUAAUUAAUUAAAGAUUUAUCGGACAAAGAUGGCCAUGCGUAUCAUUAGUUAGUUGGUGAGGUAACGGCUCACCAAGACAGCGAUGAUUAGGGGCCCUGAGAGGGGGAUCCCCCACACUGGUACUGAGACACGGACCAGACUCCUACGGGAGGCAGCAGUGAGGAAUAUUGGACAAUGGUCGCAAGACUGAUCCAGCCAUGCCGCGUGCAGGAUGACUGCCCUAUGGGUUGUAAACUGCUUUUAUACGGGAAGAAACCCAUCUACGUGUAGAUGGCUGACGGUACCGUAAGAAUAAGGACCGGCUAACUCCGUGCCAGCCGCCGCCGUAACAC